rnacentral:rRNA from 1 species
UACGUAGGUGACAAGCGUUGUCCGGAUUUACUGGGCGUAAAGAGCGCGCAGGCGGUCGUUCAAGUCGAGUGUGAAAGCCCCCGGCUCAACUGGGGAGGGUCACUCGAUACUGAUCGACUCGAAGGCAGGAGAGGGAAGUGGAAUUCCCGGUGUAGUGGUGAAAUGCGUAGAUAUCGGGAGGAACACCGGUGGCGAAGGCGGCAUCCUGGACCGGCAUUGACGCUGAUGAGCGAAAGCUAGGGGAGCAAACGGGG